rnacentral:rRNA from 1 species
UUUAUUAGCUGCCUCUCAAUAGCCUACAUCUCGGCAAACUCGGCGGCCGGCAGGCGCCGCUUAGGUUGCCUGCCGCCGCUGCGGCAUAGGGUGGGCUCGCGGCUUUGGCGGCGCAGCAGGCGUGCGCGCAGUCGGGGAGCAGCCGGCGGCGUAAGGGAGCUAAGCGCUCGCAGCCGCCGCUAUUGAAGGCGAAUGCGCGCGCGCCCUACCGCAGGUGCGAAACGAGAGGGGCGGUGGUGCUGGCGAGUGUAGAGACGGCGGCGGACGCGGGGGCGGGGAGGGGAGGGCCGGUGCGAGCAGGGGCCUCGCCGCGGCGGCCGGGUAGUCCUAACUUGUGGUGCUUUAUGGAAACAAGGGUGGGUUACAGGUGGCCGUCCCCAAGAGGGCAUAGCACAAGUAGGCACCUUCGUAGGUUUUCGUUCGUUCCUGGUCUUGUAGAGUAACAAGACCAAGUACCAUAGUACCGUUCGGGGUCACUGACCUGUAUACCCCUUCGUCACGACUUUUUCUCCGAACCACUAUUAAAGAAGUAGAUACGAUCAAGUAGUUUGUAGAUGCGGUUUAGAAAACUGCCUUAGUUACAUCGACCUUCCUCCAAUCGCUUUCUUCAGAACCUGCACCAAGUCUUCUACCGGCCGAACUUUUUCUAAAGGAAGUAUCGUGUAAGAAACCCACCAAACAAACGAUCUAUACGAUAAAGAUAUGAUAUAAGUGUCGUUCGUUUUCUUUGACCUUCACCACGACCACAGUACGACUGUUCACCUCCUAGACUUUAUAGUGCGUGAAGUCCUAAUCCACGGUAACGACCCAACCUCGGUUGAUUAAAAUAAUGUAACCGUUGGGGUGUAGAACCACAAUCUCCUUUUUUAGUCGAAGGUAAAGAAGUUCCCGACAGUUAAGAUCUCUUUGAACGUCGUGGAAACCGUGGGAAGUAACAGCCUGCGUGACCACGAGUUGAGAAAGAGUGACUACCGCUUGGAUCGUUCGGUGGAGAGGAAGAUGAUUACUGUAGACUGGUGCUCCUGUUUUUCAAGUAUAGACGUGAUCGUCGAAAAUUCUUGGCGUAAGACAUACGAUUACAAAGUAUACUGGUAUACCAACCAACCUUUUGUAGGAGUUAUUCCUCUCUUAACCUGGAAUCUUUCGGGAACGUAGCAAGUCAACUACCGAUGUUCAUGUAACACUUACACCUUAUGACAAGCGGACACAGCAGGCUGCCAGGGGUAAAAGGAAACGCCCGUCGGUCUCGAUUUCUUCGACGUGUUUCAUGUGGCUUGUACCUUUUAUGGGUCCUUAUAGUGGUCUACUACCUCCUCCUCUACUAAGCACCCAACGUCUCUCACCCAACCUUCUUUCAUCUACACUUGAAGGUACGUAGUUACACCGGAAUGAGACGAGUGUUGUUGUACGUACAAUUCUUACUCACCGAAGUGUUACGCCCACGGCCACACUAGCGGGUGCAGCGUCUGUCGAACUUUGUCUGUACAGACGGGAGGUCGGACACUCUAAGUGUGGACCCUACGACUGAAAGCGGUGCCAAUCCAGAUGUUCCUUAAUCACUAUGUAGAACAACAUCUGCCAAGCGUUCAGUCAACGUCUCCGUCCACGGCCGUGUUUGACCUUUACUUUUUUCUUCUUGCCCUACUAUAAAGAGUAAGCCUUCUACUAACGCUGCUGAGCACGACCUUCGUUUACCAUAAAAUCUACUAUAAUGCGGCGUCUAUCCACACUUCACAAGCUUCGAUACCACCUAAUACGAUUAUAACUCUCUCCGGCAUGACCCUUACAUUGUGGCGCCAACUGGACCUUUUGGGUCCGUAAAAUUGUGACUCCGGACAAAAACGACCACAGGGCAGGUUGUUCUUACUUGUAUACCUCCACCAUGACUCUCAACUGCCUACGACUUCGUUAUCGUCGUGACGUCGUCGUCACGAGUGUACGUCGUCCCCUCACUCACGUUAGACUUAAGUCUCGAUCGACCGACGACACUCAGUUACGUUACCAGGCCUUUCUUCCCUACUGGUCCCUUUCAUAGACCACGAGCGUUUGGAACCCAUGAGGGCCAUGAGGUUACAGUUUUUUGUAUAAAACUUACAAAGUCUUUUUAAGACUCUUUUUAAUACUUACAAGUGUUGCUUACACUGAUGUUCGGUAUUUUAAAAGUCUAGGUUUGAGCUUUGUGUAUAACUCUUUGUUUUUGCACUUUAGAUCGUACUUAUCACAUUUCUUCUCUGUUUUCGUUGUAACUGUGAUAAAUCUAGACCUAAAGAAAAAAAACAAAGAGUUACAUGUAAAGCUCAAACCUAGACUUUAAAAAUCCCGAACAUCAGUGUAAGUAACACUUGUAAGUGUUAAAAAAAGUUUAAAAAAUCUUGUAAGUUUUAUACAAAAAAUUUUAACCUCAUGACCUUCAUGGGCUUCCGACACUCAUAACCUAUGAAAGGGCCCUACUGGUGUACAACAUUAAUUGUCGUUUUUAUUAAUCCUUGGUUUCAAAUUUAAUACCUUUUACAAAUAAAAACCCUUAUUCUUAUACAUACACUCUUUUUAGUCCUUUUAAUAAUUUACCAUUUUUAUGUCUAAAUUUCAGCUGGUAAGAUCUCUUCUCAUCCUUGGUGUCUACCGUACUUUUCAUACUUUGUUAAAGAACCAAACGGUAGCCCCAACACGUACUAAAUUUAUAAAAGAUAUCACUUCUAUCUCGUAUCGGUCUGAUAUACUAUAUCAUCCCUAUUGAAUGAAACCGGUACAAUAAAACUCUUCUGUAUUAACGAAUUAAUCAUACGAACUUCAUAAUAAUAAAGAUACAGUUAUAAUUUGAAAAUAGAACUUAGAAAGCCGACUUGUAAGUACGGUGUUAUUUCUUUUUAAUGUAACUCUUUAUACAAUCUUUCAUAAGGUGUAGUUUUUAAGAAGAAAAUGGUAAAUGGAUGAACUCCUGCUCGUCUUUAAUUCGAACCCCUACGAACUAUACAAAGGUUGCAUAGAUAUUAAAAACUAACGAAGUACGAUAAUAUAAUAGAUAAAACCUACAAUUACUCAAAAUAAAAUGUGAAAAUAUAGUAAAAACCCUGAUUGGAUGAUUGGCCUCCUGGUCGGGUUAAACGAUAAAAAAAACGGAUAAAAUCCCAAAACUUCUUUUCCUUAUAGUUUGUCUCAGGUUUGUCUGACUUUGGAAGUCCUUGCACUAAAAGAGUUGUUUGCACUAGGUCCUCUGAACCUCACCCGCAGUUCUUUGUUCCCUCCUUCCGUGCUCCAUCCCCCCGCGCGGAUGGGGGACCCGCGCGGGAGGUUGGAGCACCCGGGAGACAACGAGGUGGCUGCAUGAAGAAGGAGGAUAUAUAUAGGUGUAUGGAGGGUUUGUAGAUCCUCGUGGUGUUUUUGGAUUAAGGUGGCGGCGUUGGAAGACAUGGACUCUCUAGGGUAGAACCCCGGAAAAGGCCUCGAGGCGGCCUCCCCCAUAACUAGUGCCUCCCGGAGAUGUAGUUGAGGUACCGGAGAGGCCACUACACACUCAUCAAAUGAAGUCUGGAUGCCCAGGUAUCAAUAAUCGAUCUACCGAAGAAGAGAGAGAAACCUAGAGUUAUGUUUCAAGAGGAGCUAGAAGAACCUCUAGAUAAGCUACAUUAGAAGAAAACGCCACACAAACAGCUCUAGGCUACUUAACACCCAAAUACUAGUUGAAAUAGAUACUUGUUAUAUACUUAGAGGAGACUUAAGAAAAUACAUACU